AAAACGGAGUGGUCGUGAUGGAGUGGGACAUGGGCAGCGGACUGAAUGAAGUGCGUAUCGAAAACGUUCAUGUCACCGAUGGCGAACGUCACGAGAUUAUCGCCAAACUGAUGACCGAGAACCAAGCUUAUCUCUCAGUCGAUGGAACCACUAAGAUAGCACAAUCCAACGGAUUUGCUAACGUUAUGAGUGCUGUUUUAUUUUUAUUAACGUUAGAAACGUCUACAUAGGUGGUAUACCGGACCGUUUGAACUACAACCGGUACCCGGGUCUAGUUGGCUGCAUCGAACAAGUCGAGCUGAUGGAGAUGGAUCGUGGCAUCAAGCUCGGUCGCACUGCGGUCGCCGGCAGAAACACCCAGCGAUGCAGGGAGUGACGGAUCGCUUUAAGGAGAUCGACCUAAAUAAUGUUAAUCAAUGAUAUAAUGUCAAUUUAAUGUAUUUUCUGCAAUUUGUGUACCUACUGUAAUCUCUUGCGUUGCCAGCGACUAUCUCAUGUCAGUUGUUCAAAUAUAUAUUUACCAUUUUAGUAUAUAAUUAGCUCUCGAUU